UACGAAGGGGGCUAGCGUUGCUCGGAAUUACUGGGCGUAAAGCGCACGUAGGCGGCUUGUUAAGUCAGGGGUGAAAUCCUGGAGCUCAACUCCAGAACUGCCUUUGAUACUGGCGAGCUUGAGUUCGGGAGAGGUGAGUGGAACUGCGAGUGUAGAGGUGAAAUUCGUAGAUAUUCGCAAGAACACCAGUAGCGAAGGCGGCUCACUGGCCCGAUACUGACACUCAGGUGCGACAGCGUGGGGAGCAAACAGG
rnacentral:rRNA from 1 species